rnacentral:rRNA from 1 species
AUGUUAAAACAAGGGAUCAUCCAGCCUAGUUGUAGUCCCUAUGCUUCACCGGUUCUUUUAGUCCAAAAGAAGGAUGGUUCAUGGAGAUUUUGUGUGGAUUACAGACACCUCAACGCCAUUACUGUCAAGAACCGCUACCCUCUUCCCAUCAUUGAAGAACUCUUGGAUGAGCUAGCAGGCUCUUGUUGGUUCACGAGCUUGGACUUGAGAGCUGGAUACCAUCAGAUCCGUAUGGUGCCGGAGGACAAGCACAAAACUGCAUUCAAAACUCAUCAUGGCCACUUUUAG